rnacentral:snoRNA from 1 species
AUGGUCUGGGUGGGGAAAGGCUCCUGUGUUGUUGAACCCGCCCAGUUGGGGGUGCAGCCUUGUUACCAGGCAGCCCAACCCUGACCUAAAGAAAAUUCCCAGAAGUCUGAUGAUCAUGUAUGAUACUGCAAACAGGA